rnacentral:rRNA from 1 species
AACGCGAAGAACCUUACCUACCCUUGACAUGUCAAGAAUUCUGCAGAGAUGUGGAAGUGCUCGAAAGAGAACUUGAACACAGGUGCUGCAUGGCCGUCGUCAGCUCGUGUCGUGAGAUGUUGGGUUAAGUCCAGCAACGAGCGCAACCCUUGUCAUUAGUUGCUACGAAAGGGCACUCUAAUGAGACUGCCGGUGACAAACCGGAGGAAGGUGGGGAUGACGUCAGGUCCUCAUGGCCCUUAUGGGUAGGGCUACACACGUCAUACAAUGGCCGGUACAGAGGGCUGCCAACCCGCGAGGGGGAGCCAAUCCUAGAAAACCGGUCGUAGUCCGGAUCGCAGUCUGCAACUCGACUGCGUGAAGUCGGAAUCGCUAGUAAUCGCGGAUCAGCUUGCCGCGGUGAAUACG